rnacentral:rRNA from 1 species
UACAGAGGUCCCAAGCGUUGUUCGGAUUCACUGGGCGUAAAGGGUGCGUAGGUGGUUGGGUAAGUCUGAUGUGAAAUCUCUGAGCUUAACUCAGAAACUGCAUUGGAUACUAUCCAGCUGGAGGAGUGGAGGGGGGACUGGAAUACUUGGUGUAGCAGUGAAAUGCGUAGAUAUCAAGUGGAACACCAGUGGCGAAGGCGAGUCCCUGGACACUUCCUGACACUGAGGCACGAAAGCUAGGGGAGCAAACAGG